rnacentral:rRNA from 1 species
UUAUUGCUGGUAUGCAAGUUAAAGGGGAACAACACUAAUCCAUUCCGAACUUAGUUGUUAAAUUCUUUGAAGAUAUU